rnacentral:lncRNA from 1 species
CAAGCCCACAAAGUUUUCCGCUUCUACUUUCAGAAUUUCAUCAUCAGCCUACAUAAUUCUGUAUGUAAUGAACACACAGGCCAAAGUAAGCCUUUCUUUUCUGGUGUUCUUCACAAAUGCUUCCCUACUCUGAGAUUUUCUGUAGAGCAGCACCUUAGCAGAAGUUAAAAGCCUUUAAUAUUCAACAAGUAGCCCCGGUAGCUCCAGGCUGCAGGCCAAAUAUCUCUACUUUACUCUCUCUAUGUUGACCAGUGACUGCUUCCCAUGUACCACUCCCAUCUAUCUUAUUUCUCUUUCAGUGCAUUGUACAUGAUAUUGUGUCUCCCAUUCAAAAAAACUGUUCCAUUUCUGCUUUCUCUUUCACUACUGCUAAGAUCAAUAACUAUCCUGUCUUAUGUUUUACCUAAACAACUUCAGUCUUAUAAUUUAUCUUGCAGUUCUUGCUUCCUCCCACAGCACCUCAGUGAAAAUGCUCCCAGGUGCAGGCUUUUACUGCUUAUCACCUACUCAGAAUGUUUCCACACAAUCAUUGUCUUCAUUCCACAUGUUAACUUGUCUAAGCCUCUGUAUCAACUUAAACUGUUUGAAUUGGUGUUUCAAGCUCUUCCUGCUCUGCUUCACAACAAGAGGAUAUGGCCUUUAACUGAUCUAUGA